CGGUCAGCAGGGCGGGACGGGCGAGCCCGUUGCCGCUGGGACCGCCGACGCAGGCGACCACCAGGCGCGAACGCAGGGUCGGAUCCUGCUCGACCAUCC
rnacentral:tRNA from 1 species